GAACAAAACCGGGAAAAGAAGCCUGAGGACCUCAUCUCCUGCGCAGACUGUGGCAAUAGCGGUCACCCAUCCUGCUUAAAGUUCUCCCCAGAACUCACAGUGAGAGUGAGGGCCCUGCGGUGGCAGUGCAUCGAGUGCAAAACGUGCAGCUCCUGUCGCGAUCAAGGCAAAAACGCAGAUAACAUGCUCUUUUGUGAUUCAUGUGACCGAGGUUUUCACAUGGAGUGUUGUGACCCACCCCUCACACGGAUGCCAAAAGGCAUGUGGAUAUGUCAGAUAUGCCGACCCAGGAAAAAAGGACGGAAACUGCUACAAAAGAAGGCAGCACAGAUAAAACGGCGCUAUGCUAAUCCAAUAGGACGUCCAAAAA
rnacentral:lncRNA from 1 species